AACGCAAAUUGCACUUCUUUCCGAGGAGUAUGCUUGCUUGAGGGUUGGUCUACAAAAUAAUCGUGAAAAAAAACCAUUUUUUUUUCGCGGAUCUGGGUUUUCCGAGUUUUCUUAAAGACUUUGGUAACCUAAAAUUUAUCUUAACAGUCUUUAGGUAUUGAUAUUAGAAAUGUUCUAUCUUACAUAUUGUAAGUUCAUUGAUAAUUAUACCAGUUGUUACAUCGUAUUAUUCACCUAGUAUCUUUUUAAUUAGGUGAAAUAAUUCAACUUUUUUAAUCCUACCUCAAGUCAAGUAAGAAUACCCGCUGAACUUAA
rnacentral:misc_RNA from 1 species